AAUCUGCCCCUCAUUUUGGGAUAACUUCGGGAAACCGAGGCUAAUACCGAAUAUUGAAACAUAAGUGGCAUCACUGAGUUUUGAAAGUUUUUCGAUGAGGGAUGACUUCGCGGCCUAUCAGCUAGUUGGUGAGGUAACGGCUCACCAAGGCAACGACGGGUAGCCGGCCUGAGAGGGCGAACGGCCACACUGGGACUGAGACACGGCCCAGACUCCUACGGGAGGCAGCAGUAGGGAAUAUUGCGCAAUGGAGGAAACUCUGACGCAGCGACGCCGCGUGCGGGAUGAAGGCCUUCGGGUUGUAAACCGCUUUCAGUAGGGAAGAAGCGAAAGUGACGGUACCUACAAAAGAAGCACCGGCUAACUAUGUGCCAGCAGCCGCGGUAAUACAUAGGGUGCAAGCGUUGUCCGGAAUUAUUGGGCGUAAAGAGCUCGUAGGUCGUUUGUUACGU
rnacentral:rRNA from 1 species